UACAGAGGGUGCAAGCGUUAAUCGGAAUUACUGGGCGUAAAGCGUGCGUAGACGGUUACAUAAGUCGGGUGUGAAAGCCCCGGGCUCAACCUGGGAAUUGCAUUCGAGACUGCGUAGCUAGGGUGCGGAAGAGGGAAGCGGAAUUUCCGGUGUAGCGGUGAAAUGCGUAGAUAUCGGGAGGAACGCCGGUGGCGAAAGCGGGCUGCUGGACCCCUUCUGACGCUGAGGCGCGAAAGCCAGGGGAGCGAACGGG
rnacentral:rRNA from 1 species